rnacentral:rRNA from 1 species
UACGAGGGGUGCAAGCGUUAUUCGGAAUCAUUGGGCGUAAAGGGUGCGUAGACGGCAUAUUAAGUCAACUGUUAAAUUCCCCGGCCUAACCGGGGGCCAGCAGUAGAUACUGAUGUGCUAGAGGAUGGAAGAGAGAAGUGGAAUUCUCGGAGUAGCGGUAAAAUGCGUAGAUCUCGAGAGGAACACCGAUGGCGAAGGCAGCUUCUUGGUCCAUUCCUGACGUUGAGGCACGAAAGCGUGGGGAGCAAACAGG